GAAAGGAGUCCAUGAGUGGACAUGUUAGUGAGAUACCAGAAUUGUCUUGAGUAGAAAAUGUUUGGAGCUUUGUUUUGCUUGUGAAGUGUGUGCUGAACUGUGCUUUCCUUGUUUAAAUGGUUGCUCCAUGGUGCUGGAUGUUCAUCAUUCCAGAAUUUUGUUCUUUUUACUUUUGCAAUGUACAUAUGUUUGGAAAACUUUGAAAGCAAGUUGCUCUUCAAGCUUAUAAGAUGAACUACCUUUCUCUCAGAUUUUAG
rnacentral:lncRNA from 1 species